AAUCAACGCUGGCGGCGUGCCUCAGACAUGCAAGUCGAACGAUUAAACUCGCCUUCGGGUGAGAUAUAAAGUGGCGCACGGGUGAGUAACACGUAAGUAAUCUACCUUCGAGUGGGGAAUAACGUCCGGAAACGGACGCUAAUACCGCAUAAUGCAGCGGCACCUAAUGGUGACAGUUGUUAAAGAUUUAUCGCUUGAAGAGGAGCUUGCGGCAGAUUAGCUAGUUGGUAAGGUAAUGGCUUACCAAGGCUACGAUCUGUAACCGGUCUAAGAGGACGGUCGGUCACACUGACACUGAAUAACGGGUCAGACUCCUACGGGAGGCAGCAGUCGGGAAUUUUGGGCAAUGGGCGAAAGCCUGACCCAGCAACGCCGCGUGAAGGAUGAAGUAUCUCGGUAUGUAAACUUCGAAAGAAUGGGAAGAAUCAAUGACGGUACCAUUUAUAAGCUCCGGCUAACUACGUGCCAGCAGCCGCCGUAAAAC
rnacentral:rRNA from 1 species